UACGUAGGGUGCAAGCGUUAAUCGGAAUUACUGGGCGUAAAGCGUGCGCAGGCGGUUUUGUAAGUUUGUCGUGAAAGCCCCGGGCUCAACCUGGGAAUUGCGAUGAAGACUGCAAGGCUUGAAUCUGGCAGAGGGGGGUAGAAUUCCACGUGUAGCAGUGAAAUGCGUAGAGAUGUGGAGGAACACCGAUGGCGAAGGCAGCCUCCUGGGCCAGCACUGACGCUCAUGCACGAAAGCGUGGGGAGCAAACAGG
rnacentral:rRNA from 1 species